rnacentral:rRNA from 1 species
AUACGGAAGGUCCGGGCGUUAUCCGGAUUUAUUGGGUUUAAAGGGAGCGCAGGCGGAGAUGCAAGCGUGACGUCAAAUUUCGGGGCUCAACCCCGUCUCGCGUCGCGAACUGCGUCCCUUGGUUGCGGGAAGGGGAGGCGGAACUCGUGGUGUAGCGGUGAAAUGCAUAGAUAUCACGAAGAACUCCGAUCGCGAAGGCAGCCUUCCGGCCCGUCAACGACGCUCAUGCUCGAAGGUGCGGGCAUCAAACAGGAUUAGAUACCCUGGUAGUCCGCACAGUAAACGAUGGACACCCGCGGUUUGGCCUGUAUGGCUGAGCCGCCAAGCGAAAGCGUUAAGUGUCCCACCUGGGGAGUACGCCGGCAACGGUGAAACUCAAAGGAAUUGGCGGGG